AUUGAACGCUGGCGGCAUGCCUUACACAUGCAAGUCGAACGGUAACGCGGGGCAACCUGGCGACGAGUGGCGAACGGGUGAGUAAUGUAUCGGAACGUGCCCAGUUGUGGGGGAUAACUGCUCGAAAGAGCAGCUAAUACCGCAUACGACCUGAGGGUGAAAGCGGGGGAUCGCAAGACCUCGCGCAAUUGGAGCGGCCGAUAUCAGAUUAGGUAGUUGGUGGGGUAAAGGCUCACCAAGCCGACGAUCUGUAGCUGGUCUGAGAGGACGACCAGCCACACGGGGACUGAGACACGGCCCAGACUCCUACGGGAGGCAGCAGUGGGGAAUUUUGGACAAUGGGCGCAAGCCUGAUCCAGCCAUGCCGCGUGCGGGAAGAAGGCCUUCGGGUUGUAAACCGCUUUUGUCAGGGAAGAAAAGGCUCCUGUUAAUACCGGGGGCUCAUGACGGUACCUGAAGAAUAAGCACCGGCUAACUACGUGCCAGCAGCCGCAGUAA
rnacentral:rRNA from 1 species